AGAACGAACGCUGGCGGCAGGCUUAACACAUGCAAGUCGAACGCGUGUAGCAAUACACGAGUGGCGCACGGGUGAGUAACGCGUGGAUAUCUGCCUUUUGGUUCGGAAUAACCCCGGGAAACUGGGGCUAAUACCGGAUGGUUCCUACGGGAUAAAGAUUUAUCGCCAAAAGAUGAGUCCGCGUACGAUUAGCUAGUUGGUGAGGUAACGGCUCACCAAGGCGACGAUCAGUAGCUGGUCUGAGAGGAUGAUCAGCCACAUUGGGACUGAGACACGGCCCAAACUCCUACGGGAGGCAGCAGUGGGGAAUAUUGGACAAUGGGCGCAAGCCUGAUCCAGCCAUGCCGCGUGAGUGAUGAAGGCCCUAGGGUUGUAAAGCUCUUUUGUGCGGGAAGAUAAUGACGGUACCGCAAGAAUAGCCCGGCUAACUUCGCGCCAGCAGCCGC
rnacentral:rRNA from 1 species